rnacentral:misc_RNA from 1 species
AAAGUCGUAACAAGGUUUCCGUAGGUGAACCUGCGGAAGGAUCAUUACAAAUAGAGGGUUAGGGUGGUGGUGGAGUGGUGGAGUGGUGGUGGUGGGGGUAUUUGGUUGGAGGGGUAGGGUAGGGCGCUUGCUCUACUCUGCCUGUGGGUAGGGUAGGGCGCUUGCUCUACUCUGCCUGUCUGAUCAGAGCGCCCGCACCCGCACCUGCACCCGCACUAUCCAUCUAUCUGCCCACAUUAGCACGGGGGGGGGCUGGCUGGCUGGCUGACUCGCACAGAGCUAGCUAGCUAGCUGGCUAGCUACCUACCCCGAUGUUUACGCUUGCUUGUUUGACAAAGUAACAUUGAUUGACCAAAUUGUAUACAACUUUUAACAAUGGAUCUCUUGGCUCUU